rnacentral:rRNA from 1 species
GACGAACGCUGGCGGCGCGCCUAACACAUGCAAGUCGAACGAGAGAGAGGGAGCUUGCUUCCUCAAUCGAGUGGCGAACGGGUGAGUAACGCGUGAGGAACCUGCCUCAAAGAGGGGGACAACAGUUGGAAACGACUGCUAAUACCGCAUAAGCCCACAGGUCGGCAUCGACCAGAGGGAAAAGGAGCAAUCCGCUUUGAGAUGGCCUCGCGUCCGAUUAGCUAGUUGGUGAGGUAAUGGCCCACCAAGGCGACGAUCGGUAGCCGGACUGAGAGGUUGAACGGCCACAUUGGGACUGAGACACGGCCCAGACUCCUACGGGAGGCAGCAGUGGGGAAUAUUGCACAAUGGGGGAAACCCUGAUGCAGCGACGCCGCGUGGAGGAAGAAGGUCUUCGGAUUGUAAACUCCUGUUGUUGAGGAAGAUAAUGACGGUACUCAACAAGGAAGUGACGGCUAACUACGUGCCAGCAGCCGCGGUAAAACGUAGGUCACAAGCGUUGUCCGGAA